rnacentral:lncRNA from 1 species
UUAUUUCCAUUUUAUUUAUUGUUGACAUGGCAUAUGAAGAUUUGUUUAGGUGCAUUUAUCAAUGGCUGUCACACCUACAUUCAGGACAAGAUGUUGCCUAUUCCUCCUUCUCUUGCUCUUCUAUCACGAUAAGGUUAUCCUGACGAAUCAAAUUACAACCCAUCUGAGCAGAGCCCUUGCUUCUCAGGCAGACCUGGUGUCUCCAGCUGAUGAUUUGUCCCUGUCUGAAGGCUUUUCUGAAUCCAGCUGUGUAAUUGCCGCCCUAGGAAACACUUGGAGUCACAGUGUGAACACCAGGCUGAUUCUCCGGUCCCUUGAUUCAGAGAGAAGACAGAUUCUCAUUGCCAAAUCCCCUCUGGCUCCCUUCACCUCAUUUAUCUACACCAUCAAGGAGGAAGGCCUGGUUCUUCAAGGCUAACAGGCCAUAGGGAUACUGUGACCUUUGUCUAGAGCUGAUGGGGGUGUGAUUUGUGAAAUGAAACAGGACCAUGCUGCUUGGAAGAAGGAAACGGAAGCCAACAUAAUGGGGAUUAAUUAGUUGAUUGCUGUUGAGAUGGUAACAGAUUUGCUCCUAGACCAUUGAACCAGCGAUUUCAGACCUAGCAGGGAAGGUGAAGAUGAAGAAGCCUUUGUUCAGGUCUCUAGAUGUGUAGGGCUGAGGGCUUUGCCACCAUGGGAUGUCAACAGACAUAAUAAUAAUAAUUUGCACUUAUAUAGCACCUUUCAACCAGGCACCUCAAAGCGGUUUAACCACAUUAAUUAAUUAAAGCCCACAAUCCCCCUGGGGAGAGAAAGAGGAUGACUAACAAGAUUUGUAAUUACAGGAGGGAACAUUUCCGAAUAAAGUAUUGUCCACCAAAUAAAAAGAGUAGGUGUAAAGGAAUCGAGGUCUCCAAAGAGUAACUGAUUCAGAAAUGAAAUCAUGGAAUGAUGGGGGAGGCUGGGGGUGGGCAUGGGCAUGGGGGUCUGUUCUUAUAUUAGAGGGAGGUCAAUGGCCUCAGAAUUCUUUGACAGGUUCAGAUCCAACCGAGAAGCAGAACAUGUGUGGUAUUAGUGGCAUUUGGAAGGUCAUUAGUGGCAUGACUAUUGUAGUGUAAAUUCAAGUUUCACUGGUAUAUUGUGUAUAGCCUUGCAGAACAAAGAGUGAGAUUCAUGCAGUAUUUAAUAAAGGAUGAAAUGAUUUCUUUAGAUUUAAAGCCCAAAGCUGGGCCACUCAAUUAGCAAAUAAAUAAGUUGGUGACCCAUGGGAUAAUUUAGGCAUUUCCAGGAGAAUAAGGGGCCUACCCAUUCCUAUUGCCCUCAGGCUUCUGACCAAAACAUCAGGCUGGGAUCAGUGUAAAGGUCUGGGAGCUUCAGCCCCUUCAAAGUCAGGCAUUAAGUACUCCCAGCCUUUGGCAAGCUCUUACCCAAGACGUUAGUGACCCAACCUGUCCUCUGUACAAUCAUUUUUACCUGCUCCUCUUGGGAAAUUUAAUUGCCUUAGGGGCUAAAAAUCAAGUCAUACCCUAUUUCCUGUCUCCUGUCAACACCCAACAGAGUGCUGUGUACCAAGUCAGCAGUGAGUGAUGAAGAACGGAUCAAAGACCAAGUCUCUUAACAACUUCAUAUUUGUUAAACAGACCAAGUGCUCAGGCAAAGUUUGAAAGCAAUAGGAUAUAUGCCUUGUCCUCAAGAACUGUAUUACAAAAGACCCCCAAACAAUAACUAUAACAUAAAGCAGAAUAAAAUAAAGUGUUAUGAUAGAUGCACGUCCAAGCUCCAUUGCAAGGGCCAAAGAAGGAGCAUCUCACCUGCCUGGAGUGAACCAGGGAAGGUAUUCCUGGGCAACAAGCAGAUGUGCUGGGCAUCAGAUGGAGAUUUGGGUAAACCUGCAAGAAAUAAGGAAGGAAAUGUUCCAGGCCAAGGCCAUGCAUCUCCCUCUGUGCAAAGUACAUUUGGAGAACUUGUGAUCUUCCGCAGAAUGUUUGUGAAAACCAAGCUGAAUUUUGCAACUGAUUAAAUGCACAUUUUCCAUGAAUUCUUAUAAGCUGACCUGGCCAAUUUCAAAUAUAAAGAAGUAUUUGAGAAGUUGGUGGUAGGGUUCAGGGCACGCUACCCCUAAAACAUGAGAAAACAGCAGAACAGGACAGUGACUGUCUCCUUCCCCCUUCCUUCUCCUCACUCCCCUGAAGCAGGUCAUAAAACCUAGCUGUCUUUCCCCAGAAGCAGGUCAUAAAACCUUCUUUCCAGAUGUGCCCUCCCUAUACCCUGAGGAAAGGAAUGUCCUUAUCUCUGAAGACACAGGGAGGCAGAGAAGAAUAUGAACAAAUGGGCCUCACUAAGUACUACCCCCUGCCCCCGGUUUAUUACCAUUAGAUCAUAUACCUUUCCCCUCUAGUUAUACUUAUGCAGGCCUGUUCACUCUUCAUCAAAGCAUAAAAAUGCACAGGCUUCCCUAUUUCUUGAGAUUUUCAUUUCUGAAGGGUCCCAUGUCAUUAAAAAUGUACAAUAAAUAAGUUUGUCAGCUUUUCUCUUUGAUCUCUUGUUGUAGGGGCCUCAGCCAUGAUCCUUGCAAAGAACGAAGACAAAAUAACACUUUUUCUUCCCUACAUUUCUUGGUGCCCAAUGUGGGUGGCUGAGCCAUCCCUCUUGCUCUGCCACCUACAGAUGAGAUCCUGGGACAAUUGACAAAAAGUUGGUGAAAUAAGAUUCUCACUAAGAAGAGCUUUCUAGGAUCUCUGUAGUUCUAGGUAGAAAGAAGAAGGUAAAAAGUUCUUCUUGUCUGCUCCUUUCCAAGUUCAGAUUAGCAGAGAAAAGUACUUCUUGGACUGGGACUCUGGCUGAAUUUAGUUUUAGGGUACCUAUUCAUUAUUGAUUUUUUUCCCUCUAUGAACAGCUAUCUUUUUCCUAGUCUUGUUUUGUGUGCUGAGAACUUGCCUUAACCUUCUACCAAUCAGGGCAUACAGCUUAUCAGUCUUGCAUGUCCAGGCAGACAACUUCAGGCUGGAGGGGGGGGGGUCCCAAGAAUAUGACCAGAGAGAAAUUAGAUUAUACCUCAUUUGUGGUUAAUGUGCUUGGUGCUGUCAGUUCUUGAGGGGCAUAUGUGUCUGUCUUGUGGCCAUCCUUGGGAGUGGAUCUGGAUCUUGGAAGGACUGCAUCUUUUUGUCUUUCUUUUGAGGACAUCUGUUUCAUCCAAGU